GCACAAUAGCCUGAGAGAUCAGACGUGGGAGAUUAGAUUGCUCGGCGUCAGACCUACUUCUAGGCAACCCCCCCUAGACUGGAGCUGCUCGUCGUGGACAUUAGGAUCUAGUUGGGCAUGAGCCCUUAACUUAAGGGUCGGGGGGGAAGUGGCGGGUGCGGAGAGGAGGCGUGGAGAGUGUGAGGAAGAAGAGAGGCACUCUGAGAAGAAGUCGAACAACUAACCCCUCAUUUGGCCUGGUUUGGGUGCCAAACUUCAUUAUCCACCCCACCACCUUGCCCGGGAGGGAGAUCUGUGAAAGCGAAACGUGAUUUAAGCUGGGAUCUGGCAGCAACUUCGUGGACUCUGAAGGGCACGUGGGAAAGGAGUUUUGAUUGAAGAGAGACAAGACCAUCAAGUAGACCAGCACACUCCAAACAGAUCUUUGGAAAGAAGGCAUUGAGAGUGGACAGAGGGAGGAUGCAGACCCUGGGGCUGAAAGGAGAGAAAGUUGGAAAUCCUGCACAGGGUUGCCAAGCACUGGAACUCAAUCCUGACCACAAGUGGCUCUUAGGGAAGCAGUAAGUUGAAUAGGCAUGGAGCAGCCCACUCUCACCAUGGACCUCCAGGAUCCUAGCUGUGGGAG
rnacentral:lncRNA from 10 species